CGACGUCCUUCCUCCAAGACGUUCCACUAUGAGAGCAUUGUCCGCUUGUCAACACCCAAAAGCAGGAGCGGCAGUUUUCAGGAAACAGGGCCUCCUCACUCGGCUCAGUGUGAGAGCAACUGUCCCAUCUGGCACAUCCAUCCCCGAGUGAAGACUACCAGGAUCUCACCUCGACUGCUGCAGCUCUCACAUCCCAAACUGACCCGUCCAGACUUCCAGAGCAACAGCGAGGUAACAUCUGCCUUGUUACUCGAGCUGCAUCAACAUUAAAUCUGAUCUGCCGUCUGUUUGCUGCCACAGAGCGUCACCUCCACCGUGUCCUUGGCGUCCAGGAGAAGCCACGCCUCUGAGCGACUGGUCCAGCUGUCACUGCCCAGACUGAGGCAGAGCAACAUCUGCAGCGAGCUCGGUCGUCCAGAGGACUCUAUCUGGUCUGUUUCAAAGGCAGCGAGAGGAGCCUCAGCGAGCGCUCGUGUUGAGACGCUCGCGACACCGAAACAGCUUUGUGAAGAUUACGUCCCGCCACCAGAACCAGACUGGAGUCAAAACAACGACCGCUCCACCUGAACUUUUCUCAGCUUCACAAACAUAGCUUUUAUGAAUGAAAAUGCAGUGAGGUAGUAAUAGUAAUCAUUAAAAAAAGCCUCUUUUGCUGGCAAAAAUGUCUAAAAUAAUGAGUUUCUUAGAUCAUUUGCCAUAUG